GCUGGGAGUGGUGGCGCAUACCUGUAAUCCUAGUGGCUCUGGAGGCUGAGGCAGGAGGAUUGCAAGUUCAAAGCAAGCCUUAGCAACUU
rnacentral:sRNA from 1 species